rnacentral:rRNA from 1 species
UACGGAGGGAGCUAGCGUUGUUCGGAAUUACUGGGCGUAAAGCGUGCGCAGGCGGCUUCUCAAGUCAGGGGUGAAAGCCCAGAGCUCAACUCUGGAACUGCCUUUGAGACUGAGUGGCUUGAGUACGAGAGAGGUGAGUGGAAUUCCCAGUGUAGAGGUGAAAUUCGUAGAUAUUGGGAAGAACACCGGUGGCGAAGGCGGCUCACUGGCUCGUAACUGACGCUCAUGCACGACAGCGUGGGGAUCAAACAGG